ACGCUGGCGGCGUGCCUAAUAAUGCAAUCCGAGCGGAGUUAUUCCUUCGGGGAUAACUUAGCGGCGGACGGGUGAGUAACACGUAGGCAACCUGCCUGUAAGACUGGGAUAACUACCGGAAACGGUAGCUAAGACCGGAUACACAACUUGAUCGCAUGGUCGAGUUGGGAAAAGCGGAGCAAUCUGCUGCUUACAGAUGGGCCUGCGGCGCAUUAGCUAGUUGGUGGGGUAACGGCUCACCAAGGCGACGAUGCGUAGCCGACCUGAGAGGGUGAACGGCCACACUGGGACUGAGACACGGCCCAGACUCCUACGGGAGGCAGCAGUAGGGAAUCUUCCGCAAUGGACGCAAGUCUGACGGAGCAACGCCGCGUGAGUGAUGAAGGUUUUCGGAUCGUAAAGCUCUGUUGCCAGGGAAGAACGCUUGGGAGAGUAACUGCUCUCAAGGUGACGGUACCUGAGAAGAAAGCCCCGGCUAACUACGUGCCAGCAGCCGCGGUAAUACGUAGGGGGCAAGCGUUGUCCGGAAUUAUUGGGCGUAAAGCGCGCGCAGGCGGCUUUGUAAGUCUGGUGUUUAAACCUACGGCUCAACCCUGGCUCGCAUUGGAAACUGCAAUGCUUGAGUGCACAAGAGGAGAGUGGUAUUCCACCUGUAACGGAUAGAAUGCUUAAAGAUGUGGAGGAACACCAGUGGAGAAAGCAACUCUGUGGGGCUGUACUGACGCUGAGGCGCGAAAGCGUGGGGCACCAACAGGAUUACUCCCCUGGGUAGCCAC
rnacentral:rRNA from 1 species